ensembl:lncRNA novel transcript
UUUUUUGGGAGGGGCAGGUUCUCCCUAUGUUGCCCAGGCUGGUCUUGAAUUCCUGACCCCAAGCAAUCCUCCCACUUCGGCCUCCCAAAGUGCUAGGAUUACAGCCAUGAGCCACUGCUCUCAGCCUUGUGGUCAACUUCUUACAGUGAUUAACACUGGAGUGAGGAGAAGAGAUUCUGAGAAACAUGAGUCCAGCUGCCUAUCUUCUGAAAGAAAGCCACUGAAGUUCUUAUUUUUCUUGUUUCCAGUUAAUGAGCAAAAGGUUCUCAAAAGUGGAAGAAAUCUACAUUAGUUAAGAUGUAGAUACCUAAUAAAUUUUAAAUGCACUCUUGAAAAAAAAAUGUCAUUUAUAUAAGUAUUCCGGGAAUAUGUAACAAACUCCCUGCCUAUUUUUCAAUUCAUUUACAAAUAAUUUUAAUAGUAAACCAUGAAUAGUCACUAGAUUGCAUUAUCAUUAAGAUAUUUUAAAUGGGAAAAAAUUCCCUCAGAUC